rnacentral:rRNA from 1 species
CUAUUCUUAGUGCAGGCUUCCUACAUGCUUAAGACCGGGGGCGGAAUUGUAAACUGCUUGUAUCGGGGAAGAAUAGUUUUCUUGCGAGGGAAUGUGACGGUACCCGAUGAAUAAGCCACGGCUAACUACGUGCCAGCAGCCGCGGUAAUACGUAGGUGGCAAGCGUUGUCCGGAUUUAUUGGGUUUAAAGGGUGCGUAGGUGGUUUUAUAAGUCAGUGGUGAAAGCUGGUUGCUCAACAAUCAAGUUGCCAUUGAUACUGUUAGACUUGAGAGAAGUGGAGGUUCAUGGAAUGGAUGGUGUAGCGGUGAAAUGCAUAGAUAUCAUCCAGAACGUCGAUUGCGAAGGCAGUGGGCUGUACUUUUUCUGACACUGAGGCACGAAAGCGUGGGGAUCAAACAGGAUUAGAUACCCUGGUAGUCCACGCUGUAAACGAUGCGAACUAGCUUUCGGGUUUAAGAUUCGGGGGCUAAGGGAAACCGAUAAGUUCGCCACCUGGGGAGUACGCCGGCAACGGUGAAACUCAAA